AGCAGUAGCCGCGGUAAUACGUAGGGUGCAAGCGUUAAUCGGAAUUACUGGGCGUAAAGCGUGCGCAGGCGGUUAUAUAAGUCAGAUGUGAAAUCCCCGGGCUCAACCUGGGAACUGCAUUUGAGACUGUAUGGCUAGAGUGUAUCAGAGGGGGGUAGAAUUCCACGUGUAGCAGUGAAAUGCGUAGAUAUGUGGAGGAAUACCGAUGGCGAAGGCAGCCCCCUGGGCCAAUACUGACGCUCAUGCACGAAAGCGUGGGGAGCAAACAGGAUUAGAUACCCCAGUAGUCCCUGUCUCUUAUAC
rnacentral:rRNA from 1 species